rnacentral:lncRNA from 1 species
AACUCUUUCCCUGAUGAUACAUUAUGCUGCUAAAGUGUACUUUCCAUUUUCAAAUGAUGGUUACAUGGUGAAAAGCUUAAUUAGGUAAAACUAUGUGCCUGUUCUUUCGGUUUCGAUAUCUACACUUUGUUGAAUGUCAUAUGGAAAUCUACGAUCAUACAUUCAUAUUUCUUAGUUCUUACUUUUCAGGUUUGCAUGACCAACAGGUCUGCAUUACUGCGACAAAAGAUAUACAUGGAUGCCACUUGGUUCCCUCGAACUUACAUGAAACUAUAUAUGCAUAAGGAUUUUAACUCUCUGAGGGCUUGGUUAAUGGUGAUUGAUGAAUAUACUCGUGAAAUUUGGCAGCGGGAAGUUUGUUUGUGUUAGUUACACUUGUGUAUGCCUGUUCUUGUUGGUGAACGCAACAGUCAACUGUGCUAGGUUGCUCCUUGUAAACCACCUCAGUUGCCAGUCUGAUCCUGACUGAGUUUCCAUUGUCAUGAUUUACAAAUCAAUAGCAGUAUCAACUUCAAGGAAAACUUGAUGUUGGAGAAUCCUUCUAAAUUGCCAAAUGAAAUAUCCUGAAGCGGGCUUAUACAAGCUUGUUGUUUCUCGUGAGGUGUUAUGCAUUCGCUGUCUAUCGCUUGGCGCUAUCUGUUCUUUGGUAUCUACCUAAAGUUGGAUGGCAUAACAAUUUGGUUAUUCUGAGUCGAGUAAGUUUUGAAAUUCAACUUUUGUCGUUAAACAACCACAGUGUGAAAUUUGAAGUAGUUACUAGUAUCUACCAGAUUUUUUUACUUCGGGCAUAUACGCUUAUUUGCAUUUGUUGCAGGUCAAAG